rnacentral:rRNA from 1 species
GUGUACAGCCACACCACCCUGAACGCGCCCCAUCUCAUCUGAUCUCGGAAGCCAAGCAGGGUCGGGCCUGGUUAGUACUUGGACGGGAGAAAUCAGAUGUUAUUUUAA